CUUCCGCUCUAGCCCUGGGACCCUACUGGGCACUUGGGGCGAUGUUCUCUGGGAGCUCUGACUCGGAGGGCCCUCUGGACUGUCCGUCUACCAGGACUCUUACUGUACUCCUGUUACCCCUUUUUACCUACAGUGCAAAGGGGCACAGUUCAUCUUGAACAUCACUCUUACUCCAGAUCUUCUGUGAAAUUCAAGGCAAAUCAAAUAUCCCACCCUAAGUGCAACCUGGAGAGAAAACAGGCCACAUCUGGGAUCCUGCAACAGCCGUGAGUAGAACAAUCGCUUGUGUCUGGAGCAUCCAUCAUGGGCCGAGGUCCUACAGCAGCUUGGCCUGAAGGAGCCACCACCAUCACCGCUGCCUUCACCGCGGCCCGUGCUUUAUUAGAAUUUAUAUGUUGCCCCGAUUGA